ensembl:lncRNA LOC102546320 uncharacterized LOC102546320
UACAGAAUCUGUGUUUCCCAAGUCAUCUUUCCUACCUCAAGAAAACAUGUAUUACAAGAUGAGUAAGACGGAAAGCCACCCAAUAUGGAGUGCAUUAGGGUUACCCCCGCACCUGCCACAGUAUUAAAUGGAUACUGAACCAUACAUUUUCCUUUCAUCUGUCUAUGCCCUCAGCAAGACAGACAAAGUGUGCAAUUCAGGCUCGAAGGCUCGGAGAUCAGCAGAUGUACGUGGUUGCUCAAAAUCGAUGGAUACACCGGUUGUCCAAAAUUAGUCUCUAAGCAGGACCAGAGCCCAGAUAACCAUACUUGGGAACUAAAUUGUGAAAGGGAGGUCCAGGAAGGCUGUGACAAACACCCAGGCUUCAAAGUGCUGUCACCAGAAGCCAGCAUCGCUGUAAGGAGCAUACAGGAUGAUUUUUUUUAAACCCCCAAUAUUUCUUCCUUUCUAUAUACUUUUCACCAACCUGUAAUGCAAGUUUAAAGGAAAAAAAAUGGAAACCUCAAUUCCCCAAACUAAUAAAAAUUGUGUUUAGUACAUUCGGAUCUUAGUGG